rnacentral:lncRNA from 12 species
CUUGAAAUUGCUGUACUCAGCACGUUAAGGAAACCAUUGAAUGGUCUGUCAGCCCGUGGAAAGCUGUUCUUUUUGAGUCAAUGACUGGCAAGACACAGGUAGAGAACGGCUCUGCUAUAGAGGAUGUAACAGUGGACACCUCUUCGGCAACGUGCAAAUGCCUUCUGCUUUCUGAUCGCGACCAACCAGCACCGCUUCAGUCCCUGACCCACAGCACAGCCUCUCUGGCCAGCUGACCUCAGGUGGAGCCUGCCCUCUCAGCAGUGCACUGCUUAAAGAGAAUGAGCUACAGGGACUAUCGCACAAAAUCCAAAACACAGGAGACACCCACUCCUCCUUUGUAAGAGGGUGGAGUUUUCUCUGUCCCAGCAAAGAUUUUCUCUGCAGCUGCUCUCUUUUGUAUUUCUGGAUGUGAAUGACUGCAGAGAGAGAGG